rnacentral:rRNA from 1 species
GAGUUUGAUCAUGGCUCAGAAUCAAACGCUGGCGGCGUGCCUCAGACAUGCAAGUCGUACGAUUAAGCUUUCCUUCUGGAAAGAUAUAAAGUGGCGUACGGGUGAGUAACACGUAAGUAAUCUACCUUUGGGUGGGGGAUAACUCAGGGAAACUUGAGCUAAUACCGCAUAAUGCAUCGGCUUCUUUUGAAGACAGUUGUUAAAGCUUUUAUGUGCCUGAAGAGGAGCUUGCGGCUCAUUAGCUAGUUGGUAAGGUAAUGGCUUACCAAGGCAACGAUCUGUAGCCGACCUGAGAGGGUGGUCGGUCACACUGACACUGAAUAACGGGUCAUACUCCUACGGGAGGCAGCGGUCGGUAAUUUUGGGCGAUGGGCGAAAGCCUGACCCAACACCGCCGCGUGAAGGAUGAACUCUUUCGGGAUGUAAACUUCCGAAAUAUAGGAAGAAUAAAUGACGGUACUAUAUCUAAAGUCCGGCUAACUACGUGCCACCAGCCGCGGUAAUACGUAGGGACCAAGCGUUGUUCGGAUUUACUGGGCGUAAAGGGUGCGUAAGCGGCGUGAUAAGUCACUUGUGAAAUCUCCGAGCUUAACUCGGAACUGCCAAGUGAUGCUAUUGUGCUAUAGUACAGAAAGGGUAACUGGAAUUCUUGGUGUAGCGGUGAAAUGCGUAGAUAUCAAGAAGAACACCUGAUGCGAAGGCGAGUUACUAGGCUGAUACUGACGCUGAAGUACCAAAGCUAGGGGAGCGAACGGGAUUAGAUACCCCGGUAGUCCUAGCCCUAAACGAUGAUUGCUUGGUGUCUGGAGU